AGCUCCAAGAGCAUAUAUUAAAGUUGUUGCAGUUAAAAAGCUCGUAGUUGGACUUCUGGUUUAAUGCACCUGGCCCGCGGUCUUUCAGACAUGUGAGUGCCGGCGCGCGUUUACCAUCCUUCCAGAUAACGUGUCUUCCCUUCACUGGGCCGGAUUCGGGGUCUGGAUCUUUUACUUUGAAAAAAUUAGAGUGUUUAAAGCAGGCUUUUGCUAUGAAUACAUUAGCAUGGAAUAAUAAUCUAGGACUUCGGUUCUAUUUUGUUGGUUUCUAUAACUGAAGUAAUGAUUGAUAGGGACAGUUGGGGGUGCUAGUAUUGGCCGGUCAGAGGUGAAAUUCUUGGAUUCGGUCAAGACUAACUUAUGCGAAAGCAUUCACCAAGGAUGUCUUCU
rnacentral:rRNA from 1 species